AUUUUGUGAUUGGAUCAGAUGAUGAUGUUUAAUGUGUGCGCAUGUGUUUUUAUUUUUGAGGGGGGUAAUUUUAGUUUUUUACUGAAAUAAACCUAGUGUUAUUCGCUCAGCAGUUCACACGCGCCCGUAUUUUUCGCUUUUCACUCGUUCGAUUCUCGCUUCAGUCAUAGGUUUGGGGGUUUUGGGUUCUUCUAUGUGCCGAUUUCAAUUCCUCUUUGUUCUCCGCAUUGCAAUGGUCGCUGGUGGGUGCCGCAGUCGAGCCAAGCGUCGAAGACCUCUUGCUAGCGGCAUCGAUCGAGAAUGAUAUACUAUUUGAGGUUUUUCGACAGACGAGUCUUGUGAAGUCAGCGAUUUGUGUGUCGUGGAGGAUAAGAGGAUGCAAAUGUCUUGGCGAGAUUCGAAGAAUAGAACUGACUGUGGGGUUUAUCUCAUGCGUCACAUGAAGACGUAUGUUGGGCAAGGGGUGCCUAAGUGGGAAUGCGGCCUUGGUAAGGGUGAAACUACUAAGCUGCACCAAUUGAGGCUUCACUACAUGAAGGAGCUAGUGAUUUUAGUAUUCACUGCUCAUAAAUCCAGGAAUUUAAGCCGAGCGUACCAGUAUAUUAAUACUCUAAUAGCGCCUUCGUAGACAUGUGUUCCCACUGUGUCGUUUUGUCCAUUUCCAGCUUCUCGUAUAUUAGAAUAACUAUUGAUAACUAUCUACGGUGUGGAGACAGUUUUUGCACACGCUUUACCUUUGUGGUUUGCCCAUUUGUAAUUAUACUCAGGUCUCUCGUUUAGUUUUCGUGCUAUUUUUUUGUCUAAGGUAUUUCACAAUUAACCUUUUAUGCAUUGGCUUUUUUGUCUGUGUACUUUAUCCACCUUUUCUA